AACAGGAUUAGAUACCCUGGUAGUCCACGCCGUAAACGAUGUCGACUAGCCGUUGGGUCCUUCGCGGACUUUGUGGCGCAGUUAACGCGAUAAGUCGACCGCCUGGGGAGUACGGCCGCAAGGUUAAAACUCAAAUGAAUUGACGGGGGCCCGCACAAGCGGUGGAGCAUGUGGUUUAAUUCGAUGCAACGCGAAGAACCUUACCUACCCUUGACAUCCUGCGAACCCUUCGGAGACGAAGGGGUGCCUUCGGGAACGCAGAGACAGGUGCUGCAUGGCUGUCGUCAGCCCGUGUUGUGAAAUGUUGGGUUAAGUCCCGUAACGAGCGCAACCCUUGUCCCUAUUUGCCAGCGAUUCGGUCGGGAACUCUAGGGAGACUGCCGGUGACAAACCGGAGGAAGGUGGGGACGACGUCAAGUCAUCAUGGCCCUUACGGGUAGGGCUACACACGUGCUACAAUGGUCAGUACAAAGGGUUGCGAACUUGCGAGAGUGAGCCAAUCCCAGAAAGCUGAUCUCAGUCCGGAUCGGAGUCUGCAACUCGACUCCGUGAAGUCGGAAUCGCUAGUAAUCGUGAAUCAGAAUGUCACGGUGAAUACGUUCCCGGGCCUUGUACACACCGCCCGUCACACCAUGGGAGUGGACUGCACCAGAAGUGGUUAGCCUAACCUUCGGGAGGGCGAUCACCACGGUGUGGUUCAUGACUGGGGUGAAGUCGUAACAAGGUAACC
rnacentral:rRNA from 1 species